AUGGUGGUAGGUGUAUAUAUACGUGGGUGGGUAGUAUAAUUUUUAUUAUAUUUUUCUUUAUUGUUUUAAGGGGUUCCUUCUUCUCCUUCACUAAAACCCUCGUUAUCAACGCCUAAUGUUUAAAUUGUUUAUUUGCUUCCCCUUAUAGUCUCAUUUCUAUAAUUUUAUUUUUGUAGAUCUAACUCCUUGCUCUUAUAGUUUUUCUAAAAUCUCAAGGAUACAGACUUAUGAAGGAUUAUUAAUCGAGAGACGACCUUGAAAAAUUAUUUUCUUCAUAGCGAAUUAGCGGUUUUCAGAUCUGCUUCUUUGAUGAACUCGAUGUUAAAUGAUAGAAAUUGGCAAAUUUGGAUGAGCUUGAUGACAAAGUAUAUAUAAAGGAGGGGUUGUGGUAUGAUGAUGACGGAAGCUAAAGACAGUGUCAUUGUGUCAGCCAUUUUCAUAUUGAGUUCAUCUUCAAGAAAAAUAAAAAACAAAUCUAAGUUUUGUUAUCAUUUUGCUUGAUGUUAUUAGUUUAUAAUUUAUUUACUGGUAUAUUUUUUGAUGAGGGAGUUACAAUACAUUGUAUAAUUAGUUUGUAUUCUAGGCUUCUAGCUUUGAGCAUUGAAAUUAACGACGAUAAAGAAUCUUGAAUAUCAAAUCUCAUUCAAUGGAAUUUUUUUUUUCA